rnacentral:lncRNA from 1 species
GCGUGUCUGGCCUCUGCGGAUCAUUCACACGAAACUCCCGAUCUGAUUGACUCCUCAUGAGUGCUAGCUCGUUGUAGAGCCCUUUUGACGGCCGAUGUAGAUCGAACUUCUUCGAUCGAUGUCUGUCAAUUCUUUAGAUACUCUGGAUCACCAACAGAUGUGCUUGAGAUGAUGUUGAAGAUCUCCCUGAGAUUUUGUGGGCUCAUGACACUCGUAGCUCACUUUCUCACUUCCCGAACCCCAGGCUAAAACUCUAGGGAACUCACUGAAAACCUUGCACCCA